rnacentral:rRNA from 1 species
GUAGGGAAUUUUCCGCAAUGGGCGAAAGCCUGACGGAGCGACGCCGCGUGAGGGAUGAAGGCCUUCGGGUCGUAAACCUCUUUCGUUGGGGAAUAAGUGCAUCCGCGUGAAUAAUGCGGGUGCUUGACAGUACCCGAGGAAGAAGCUACGGCUAACUCUGUGCCAGCAGCCGCGGUAAUACAGAGGUAGCAAACGUUGUCCGGAUUUACUGGGCGUAAAGGGAUCGUAGGCGGUCAAAUAAGUCAGGUGUGAAAUCGUCCCGCUUAACGGGACAACUGCACUUGAUACUGCUUGGCUUGAGUGCGGGAAGGGAAAAUGGAAUUUCCGGUGUAGCGGUGAAAUGCGUAGAUAUCGGAAAGAACACCAGUGGCGAAGGCGGUUUUCUGGCCCGCAACUGACGCUGAGGAUCGAAAGCCAGGGGAGCAAACGGGAUUAGAUACCCUGGUAGUCC